GAACGACUCUCGGCAACGGAUAUCUAGGCUCUCGCAUCGAUGAAGAACGUAGCAAACUGCGAUACUUGGUGUGAAUUGCAGAAUCCCGUGAACCAUCGAGUUUUUGAACGCAAGUUGCGCCCGAAGCCAUUAGGCCGAGGGCACGCCUGCCUGGGCGUCACGCAUCGCGUCGCCCUCCCCAGCCCUCGU
rnacentral:rRNA from 1 species